rnacentral:tmRNA from 1 species
GGGGGUGACUGGUUUCGACUCGGGACGAUAGUCCCAGGAGAAGCGGGCCGAGGAUCCACGUUUAUCUCGUUAACGCUGCGUGGAAACCAAUAAGUGCCAACAACAACCGCACUGACUUCGCUCUCGCUGCCUGAUCAGCGACCGAAGGGUCAGCCCGGAGACGCCUUCGCUCCGGUUCCUGGCCUCAUCUAGAAGGCUUGCUGAGUAGCCUGCGUAUCAGGGGCUGCUCGGGACUUUACUGAUACUGGGUCCGUCUGCACCGUGCCGACGAAGAGUGCAGGGACCGAGAAAACGCCUAGGUUCGGCUGCGCCCGGAGAAGUCCUGGUUCAUCUCUUGAGGACGCGGGUUCAAUUCCCGCCACCUCCACC